rnacentral:lncRNA from 1 species
GGGCGAAAGAGUAAAACUCUGUCUCAAUAAAUAAAUAAAUAAAUAAAUAAAUUUAAAAAUGAAAUAAAAAAAAAAACUAAAAAACCCACAUGAAUAUGUACAAAACACUGAGAGAAUAAAUGUUGAUCUCACAGAAGGGGCUGGCUUGAAGGUAAACGUAGACUCUUGCAGUACAUUGUGUGGAUGUGAAGACCGACAGCAGCAAGACAUUCUGUAGGGCAGUGUUUCAAACUGCAGCCAGUGAAAAUACACUCAAUUUCCCACAGGUUCCUGAUGAGACUGAGAGAAACCUGGUGAAGUGUCAGUAAGAGAACACAAAUGUCUGCCUCUGCCUCUGCUUCGUGUCAGGGUUCAUGAAAUCUGCACCAUGUGGAACCCGGGGGCCAUCACCAUCUUCAUAAAGAGAGCCAGUGACGAGUUCUGCCCUGGGACCUAGGAAUGACCCAAGAAGCCAGGAUUACCCAGAACCCCAGAUCUGCUGACACCUCCAUGUCCUCCACCAAGGCUGGAGAGAAGCAGAACUCUAACCUGAGACAGGAAGUGUUCCUCGGGUGCAUAAUAGAGAAAGGGAAGUAUGACCACCCUGCAAAGAAGGAACCACAGAGAAACGUCCUCGAGUGCUUACAGCAGCAAGGUGAGGAGAGAAUUCGGUCACUAAGAAACAACUGA